UAACACGUAGGAGGCAAGCGUUAUCCGAAUUUACUGGGCGUAAAGCGCGUGCAGGCGGUUCGGUAAGUUGGAUGUGAAAUCUCCCGGCUCAACUGGGAGAGGUCGUUCAAUACUGUCGGACUAGAGGAUGGUAGAGGGAGGUGGAAUUCCCGGUGUAGUGGUGAAAUGCGUAGAUAUCGGGAGGAACACCAGUGGCGAAGGCGGCCUCCUGGACCAUUCCUGACGCUCAGACGCGAAAGCUAGGGGAGCGAACGGG
rnacentral:rRNA from 1 species